CUGGAUGCUCUGCAAAUUUAUCCUCCUCAGCAAAGUUAUGGUCCCCAGAGGCAAGCUGAAAGAAGAAAUCCCAUGCCAAUGAGCACUAUGGAUUAAGCCACCGGUGGAAGGGAUCCAGAUCAAGGACAUAGGAGAGAUCCGGUGCCUUCAUAUCAGGUAAACUACAAUCAACAGGGUCAUAACAACAAUUACUAUCAGCAAACGGAGAGACCUGCCCCAAGGAGAUAGAUGGAGCUCUGCACCUCCAGUGCAGAAUGAUUAUAGGAGAGACAAUCGGAACUAUGCACCUACUUAUGGCAGUAUCAAGCAUACAUCUCAUAAAUUUAAUCAUGCACACGUGAUAUCACUUAUCCACGGGCAAUAAAAAAGGCAACCAAACUGAGACAAAAUCCAUCUAAUUCAUGCUUAUUCCACAAAUUCCAGCACAUGUUCAGAAUUGUAACAGAGCAUACAGGACCACAGAUUGUCAUCAUUUGAUGACCAAUUGACAUGAAUUGAAGCCGUAUCUUCCUACAAGCGCAUAUGAGUCUACUUCAUCAAAAUGGCAUCAAUCCAAGACCAAAUAAAUACCGAAUUUAAACAAAGCAAUCACGGUCAGCAUGCAAUACUUCGAUUCUAGCAUAUUCAAGUUCGGUUAUGACCAUAAUUCUCGCAAAAUUGGCAUGAGAUUCACCAUAUUAGUUUCCUAGCAUGAACAUAUAUGAUCCCAUAACCAAACUAGCCUCAAGAUGGAAUCAAAAGCACACCAAAUCAGAGAUAUCAAGACAGAGUAAGCAUACACGGAUCGAUUUCCAGUAGAAUUUAAUUCAUUCAUGACAUAAUUUCUUUUCAAGUGAACAUGAAAUUCAUCAUAACACAAUCUUAUAUCACUACAAAUGCUUGCUUAAGUGGAAUGGCACAAAAUCAAGGACCAAUUGACAUCAGCUCAGAGCCGCAACAGUCGCAAAUCAUCGUGUCUUGACAAGGUUCCAGCAGGUCCAAACCAAGUUUGAAAUUGAAUACCUAUGAUAUUUUAUGAAGAAACAGAACUCAAAUACACUUACAUGACCAGAAUAGAUGAACAAUCUAGUAAUGAAGGAAAUUCUCGGCCAAGAACUGAAUCAAAAUACACACUGAUUCAGUUCAGGAAUUUCAUCAAACAGGUGGUAUACAUUUCGGCCAAGGAGCACCAGAUCAAAUCAUUAAUACAGCCUCAAUCACAGUCGAUUUGCACACAGAUGGUAGCAAUAGCUCCCAGCCUCUGCUUCGUAUAUAAAGCAACGGAAAACAGAGUUUAGUUGAACGAAGAAUGAUUAGCUAAGCUAACAGAAGCAACGUCAUGGAAUGGAAACGUCGAAGCAGGCAUGACUUGGGGAUGCUCAGAAAAUCACCCGAGUUCCUUCGAUCGAUGCUCUCUGUUCU